rnacentral:pre_miRNA from 1 species
AGUGGAAUAGUUGGGUCAUUUGGUGGUUCCAUUCAUAGAUUUUUUUUUGAGGAACCACCACACUGCUUUCCAGAGUGAUUAUACUAAUUUGCAAUCCUCACAACAAU